rnacentral:rRNA from 1 species
AUGGUGGACAAGAGGAGCAGGAGGGGAGGUGCGGAGGCAGGGCCAUAUGCGUCAGACGCGCGCAUUCGCCCACAGUCAACGCGGACGCAGCGGCCGUCCAUGGCGGCUAGGGUCGAUGUAGGAGGACGAGGGGAGGAGCUCGUGAGGCCUGGCACUGGGAAUGGAGCGGAGGCGGCUAGAUCUAGCGAUUCUGGAGGGGUUGGCGAUGAGCGUCUCCAUGGGCGGUGA